AGUGUGCGUCAUAUGUACCGGUUGGUCGUCGGAUGGAUGGUCAGAUGUACGUAUGGGCAACCCUGUCUGCCAAAGGCUGUCCAUCUGCAUGAAGACCUCCUGAGAUGAGAAUUUGACUAGAUGAACAUGUGGCAUACAUGAUGGAGAAUUCUAUGGGUCACUAAGAAGAGCUGGUUGUCAUGAGCCAUUUCUGACAGAGAGAAGAUUUCCAAGUGAAUGAUUGCAAUAUGUGCAGUUAGAGGAUUAUUUGGCACAGAUGUGAGUUGGGAGUUCACAGUUUCCAAGGAAGGAUCUUUUCUGUAACACAGCAGGUGAUAGAGACCAAAAUGGCAACAGACACUGUCAGGGUUCCAUUGGAUAUUCGUGACAACUCUAUAAGG